rnacentral:tRNA from 1 species
GCAGGGGAUAUUUUAAAUAAAAUAAUAGUUUUGGGAAUUGUUGAUGAGAUAAGUAUUUCUCCUCUG